CUUCUCUAUGUUGUCCAGAAUUCUAGAAUCUAGCUUAAGCGUCGAAGGGUUCCCACUAGAGCCACCUCCAAUUGGAGACUUUUCUUACAGAUCCUACCAUCACUGACCUGCCAUCACUGUCUAACUCCAGUCAAUCCAACCUCGAGAUGAAAUUCUACUAUAACAAAAUGGCACUAGAGGAAGGGGCCAUGCCUGUUUGCAAAAAGGAGCAAGUGUCUAGUCAAAGAAACUUCAUCAUGUCGUCCAAACACC
rnacentral:lncRNA from 1 species